rnacentral:misc_RNA from 1 species
UGAGACUAGGCAUGGAAAUGGAUAUCUAGUUUCCAUCUCUUGGAUGUGUGGAAAGAAAAAAGGAAUUAAAUGGAACAUUAUAAAAAGUUUGAUGGUCAUUUCCUUUAUUCAAAUCUAAGCGAAGUAAGCAAGGUAUAAGGAAAAAAGAGAAAAUAUAUCCCAUCAAGGGUCAGAUUAUAAUUGACCAUGCGGGUAUACAUACAUUCUACUGAAGAAGAAAAAGAAGAUACCGUCAACUACAAUCUCAACUGUUGAAAUCAGCAAUCGACUUACGAGAAAUAGUGCGUGUUGUCAUAAACUAGUUCAAAUAAGGAAAUUUUUGCUGUGCUAUACUGCUAUACCAACUUAACAGAUCCUUACGCUCGUCACAUGAAGAUCAUUUAAGGAAACCAUGACUGAGAAAGACAUUACCUUACCCUUCAAGAAUGAAAGGCCACUGUAGCAACUAGCAAGUGGUAUUGUUCAUGCGAUAGUUAAGUGAAUCAGCAUAAACCCUCACAAAUCAAUAUGAUUUAUCCUUUCUCUUAAAGAUUGAUGAUCAUUGAGGUGGUUCUCUUACCUUGAAAUUUUCCAGCACUUACAAGGUAUUUGCUGCAGACUUAACGUAAUCCCUGUAUUAAUUGACUUGUUAUGAUGCUUGAACCUCAUUACUUUUUGCAGAACCUGAGAAAAACAGCAGGCCAACCACGUUUAGUGCCAAGGAAGAGCAGCCAUUAAAAGGCUUAGCUUCUGCUGCCAUCCAUGAUUUCCAACAAGCUCACCUAGAAAAUUUUCAAUAAAACAUAAAAUACAGGGCAAUCAAACUAAUGAAGAAAAAGAAGAGCAACCCUGUCUCCCUUCAUAUAUAUUUCCUCUGAGAUCGAUUGCCAAAUGUAACAUACCUACAACUUCUCCGUGUCGCAUUACAUGACAGUGAUUUUGCUCCCACUGAGGCAGAGUAAUUAACAGACGUUGGAGUAAAACUUAACCAUGCAAUUUUAAAUUGAAGCCAGAAAUUCUGCCAUAUUAUACCGUUGGCUUCUUAAUAGUAGGAACUGUAACUUGCAUUCUUGCACAUUAACCUAACUUCAAAGGAAAUUGUCUCUUAUUCUUCCGUAACAAUCAAUACAUGGUCGUGAAGACAUGAAUAACAAACUAUUUAUCAGCACUAUCAUUAUCAAGUUUCAUUGAAUUUUUCAGCAUGACCAAGAGUAAUAGGAAUCAAACUUGAUUAGCAAAUUGCAGUGCAACUUUCUAGUACUCAACAUCUCCUAUAAUUUCAAAGCCUAAUCACAAAACCAACCUCUCGAAGUAAAACAUUCAUACCACAGUGCAUGUAAACAUUCUGGGCAAAAGCAUGUGUAUAUGUGUGUGUGCGUGUAUGUCUAUAUAUACAGACAUUCACAUAUACCCUUUUUUCUUUUUCAAGAAAAGUGUUAAAAUAUAAACAUCAGGUGUUUUCAUGACCUUAAAACAAUGGCCAGCUGGCAAGGCUCACAUUACUGACGGGCAUAAAAGUUUAAAUAUUCCUAAAGGGAACUUCUUCCUUGUUACUGUUUGUGCAGCAAAUUAAGAUAUUUUGUAGGCAUAUUAUCCAGUUUAGCAAUCAAGGCAGCACAUAGAAACUGCAUUAAUUUAUUGACAAUGAAAAAACACACAAGAAGAUGGACACCUAAAACAAUAAGCUCAAUUUUCACCCAAAAUGAAUGCACUUUCCUUUUUCUGAAAAUUGCAACCCAAUAAAAGACCAACUUGUAAAAUAUUCACAGACACUUGAGUUUUGGAACUUCUGAAAAGGGCCAAUCCAAAUUAUCUAUUAUUCAUCCCUUACCUGAGCAUCAGGAGAUCAUUUCGGUAUCUCCUAAGUAUGCAGCAAGGUAGAUGAUUCUGUUGGACAAAAACUACUCUUCAUCAGACACUUCCUCGAUCUCAGAGGUUUCUACGUAGCAAUCAUCACCUGUUUCACACUCUCCCUCAGAUUCAUGCGGUCCAGUCUCAUCCUCAACAUCAUUUAGCAAAAUGUCUUCAGGGAUCAUAUUUGCACCUUUAUUCCGAUAAACAAGUCCAGUUCUCAUUACAUGAUAAAACUUAUCUCGUAGACGAGCAAGAGGAUGUGGAUUCACUAAUUUUCCCUGCUGGUAACCUUCUCUAAGAGCAACAGUUGUUGUCUUACACUUCAGUGAAAGGUAGAAAAUCCCUGGAUACCUCGUAAACAGUCGAGUAAACUUAUGUGGAAGAAUCAAUUGCUCUCUCAAGCUCCUCAAGUAGUUCCUCUUGGUCUUCUUAUGAAUUGUAAGGCUCAAAAGCUCAUGCAAAACACCAACAACUCGCUUUUCCAUGAGUUCACUAUUUGGGUCAAUCUGCCUUGAAUCCUCAUAUGGCGAAAUAUAAGGCAACUUCUGAAAUUCUUCCAUCCAUGCUCUCACCUUCUUCUGUGCUCCAUACCCCCUUGGAAAUCUCAUAGGAAAAGCCAAAGUAGUCUGCCCCUUCUUGAACUGCUCAUACUUGUUACCCAUUUCUUUGCUUUCAUUGCUCCGCUGCAAUGCGGAAACUGCAAAUUCUUCUUGCCAUUGGACAAGGCGCAAGCAGGUAACACCAUUUAAUGCCUUAACAAAUUGAAAAUAAUUAGGGUAUUUUGGAAUCAAUAGUUUCUCAAAAUUAUCUGGCAAACCCAGGUCCCACUUCAAGGGAUGUAGCGAUUGAAGUGGCACUGUCCUACUUUUCAUCAUCAUAAGCACUCUACAAAGCCUCUCCACGGUAUCACUCUCAUAAUUUUGGUGGAUGCUCUGUUCCUGUGAAUCUAGCAGGAGUGCAGUAUCUGUCAACCGGAAACAAGGCAAAUUCGCAUAGCGGGCAUGUGGAAAUUCACUAAAGAGAGUUGGGUACCUGCGCAAGAAGCGAAGAACAGGAACAGUAAGGCCAAGAAGCUUUUGCCAAUCAGCAACGGACUUAGCAGUGAGAAAACCAGUAGGAAAGCGUUUGAUUGCGUCCUUUAAUAGACAAGCCGCCUUGAGAUCGGUCUCUUUGUCAAUUAUGUUGUCUAGGCUACGGUUCUUCACCCACUUAAGCCUCACCUUCACUAUGGAUCGAUAAUGAAGAAAAUGGUAAAGAUGGUUGCCGUUGCUGUUGUUGGGUACAAAUAUAGCUUUUGGCAAUAAUAGUUUUUGCAUUGUAAGCAAAGAUUUGUGGGUUUUCAAGAUCUGUUUUUUUUCCUUCUUUUGAGAAAUAGCUUCUUGUUUCUUGUUGCUUAUUGGGUUUAUGGUAAAACCCUAAAACAGAAGCCAAAACCUUGACAUCAAUGAUUUUCAGCGGACACUGGAUGAGUUUGUUCCGUCUUUGCUAAGAAUUGAGAUUUGCCUGUAAGCAAAGAGGGAAAGUUAGUCCUCCUCUGAAGGCAGG